GCCGGCCGAGGUCUUAUUGGGGAACGACGUAGGCUGUUUAACCUCCCAACUCUCACGGGACACCACUUCAGAAGCCUACCCAGUUACUGUGGAGGAACCAGCCUCGCCACUGGGCAUUGGAGACUGAUUGCCAGCCUCCUGCCAUGUGACAAUGGCCCCUAGGAUGUAUUGCCUGCUCUCCUGUACUGCUGAGGUUUGCUACCAACUAGGUGGAUUUGGCUAUGGAGCUUGUCUAGUGCCCUCUGUUGGUAGCAACAGCAAUAUGCACUACCUGAAUAGCAAGACUGGUUCAUUUGCAUAUUCGGGUAGAUUUGCAUAUUGCUAAUUCUGCAGGCACGUGAGAUAUUUUCUGUUAAUUAUUGUCUCCCCCACCUCUUUAAAAAUAUGCCAUUGUGUUAUAAUAAGUCACUGUAUGUUGCCUGCUAUGAUUUGAUUGUUUGUAAUUUUAUUGAGUUUUCACAGCAAUGGGACACGGGGCCACCCAAGUCACUAAAAGACAGCUUGUAGUACCCCGUAAGUUUCAUGCUGAGUUAUUAAAACUCAGUCACGACAUUCCCCUAGCAGGACAUCUAGGGGUUAAGAAGACGAGGGACCGGUUGACCCAAACGUUCUUCUGGCCUAGGAUCACGCAAGAUCUUAAAUAUUAUUGUAGAACGUGUGACAUAUGUCAAAAGAUAGGGAAAAGGGGUGACCACCAAAAAGCCAAACUCCACCCUUUACCCAUUAUAGAAGAGCCGUUUCACUGAGUAGUGAUAGACUUAAUAGGACCCCUCAGUAUGUGCCCCCUCUUCCGGGGAUAGUGAGGAACUUCCCCUGCCCGAUAAAUUAGACACCUCCUUAGAGAAGAG